GACGAACGCUGGCGGCGUGCCUAAUACAUGCCAGUUGAGCGCUGAAGGUUGGUACUUGUACCAACUGGACGAGCAGCGAACGGGUGAGUAACGCGUGGGGAAUCUGCCUUUGAGCGGGGGACAACAUUUGGAAACGAAUGCUAAUACCGCAUAAAAACUUUAAACACAAGUUUUAAGUUUGAAAGAUGCAAUUGCAUCACUCAAAGAUGAUCCCGCGUUGUAUUAGCUAGUUGGUGAGGUAAAGGCUCACCAAGGCGAUGAUACAUAGCCGACCUGAGAGGGUGAUCGGCCACAUUGGGACUGAGACACGGCCCAAACUCCUACGGGAGGCAGCAGUAGGGAAUCUUCGGCAAUGGACGAAAGUCUGACCGAGCAACGCCGCGUGAGUGAAGAAGGGUUUCGGAUCGUAAAACUCUGUUGGUAGAGAAGAACGUUGGUGAGAGUGGAAAGCUCAUCAAGUGACGGUAACUACCCAGAAAGGGACGGCUAACUACGUG
rnacentral:rRNA from 1 species